GGGGGUGACAUGGCUUCGACGGGGAAAGGUGUAGCCCGGGAUGCAUGCCGGUUCGCCGGAACCGUAAAAACGGCACCAAAAUGUAAAUGCAGAUGCAAAUCUCGCAUACGCUGCUUAAUUCAGUUUAAGUAGCUGUCCCCUCAUCCCGCGCCUGCGGGGAUGACGCGGGGCAUCAUUUGAGCAGGCUCUUCCUUCUUUCUUCGCUCCGGCGAAAGAAGGAGAACCUCACGGAGCUCGCCUUUUUUAGGUUGGGACGGUUCCCUCAGAGAAGGCUAAAAACAAAACCGGCCUAAGCAUGUAGAUUCCCCUGUGAGCCUUCUUCGGACGCGGGUUCGAUUCCCGCCACCUCCAUCA
rnacentral:tmRNA from 1 species